UGCCUUUUGUUAUUUUCCUGUCAUGAGACCCGGAAGUUUUUUUUUUUUUUAUCCCAUCACAUGUUCUGAGAGAGAUUUAAUAAACACAAAAAUGGCGACAGUCACGUUACAGCUGCUGCGUCACCAGCUCUUCCUCCUGUAACUGCGGGUGCAAGGAGGCUGCCGGACUCGGGGUGAUGCUGACCGGGAAGGGGGUGCAGAGAGGCAAGGCUGGAGCGGCUGGCGGCGCUGUCUGCGACCCUCCCGGGGGGGUCUCUGCCCUCCAAUCCCUCCAGGCAGGCGGCAGGGCUCCACAGCGCUUGCAAUGUGCCAGCAGCUACAUCCACAAUACUUAAACUUGGUUAACUUUUGGGACGAAGACCCUACCCAUCAUGGACGUGUCUAACAAUGUCGAGAUUACUACACUGAUUAAUUUCCUAAACCAUCUUUAUUCACGCAGCCGCCACUAGAGGGAGCACAAUGCAGAGAAACCAGUUAUUGUGUAAUAGAUUGCAACAUAUUGGCUUGUAUGUGCUUUUGUUCUUUGUUUUGCACUUUUUUGUAUAACUUUGUAUCCUUACAUAGGAAGCUGCUGAGAAAAGUAAAAAAGUUACAAUAUUUGUUUUACUUGUGAAAGCUGAAGCUGGUAAAGAGCGCUGUGACUGACAGGCUUCCCUGGCUCAGUUAUCACAGUGCUGAUGCUGUCUAGUCUAAAGGUACAGUACUGUGAUAACUGAAGGAUGGCAGCCAUCUUAACAUCAUGCUCUUGGAAUGAACCAGAAGACUACGCUCCUCCAUCUCGUUUUGUGGUCAGAUGAGUCUUUGUCUGGAUGUCCACAUGGCUGCUGGAAGUAUUGCAAUAAAGCCAGUAAAACGCAUUUGGAUUUGGAGUUUUUAUUAACGAGGUACAUACUGAAGAAAGGACGUAAUUUACAUGGCAAAUUGGGUUAAGACGUAACUAUCCUCACUUAUGACAUUCCCUAUUGUAACUCCUUUCUGCCCCCUUCUAUAUUAUCGCCUAGAACCUAUACCCCUCAUCCAACCAUAGCCCUGAUACUCCAUAAACUCCAGAACACUUAAUAUUGGUACUGACUGGUGUCGACUCGUGUAGCCUAAUAUGUACUUCCCGAUAGUAUAUAAAAGACGGCUGGUCUAUUGUACAAUACAAGCACUUAUGCCUCAUGUAUCACCCCCAUCUCCUCAUAGAUUGUAAGCUAUCUCGAGCAGGGCCCUCUCUCCUAUUGUCUGAAUUGUUGAUUUUGCAAUCUGUAAUGUCCACUUUGAACAUGUUCCCUCUGAAUUGUAAAGUGCUAUAUAAAUACAGAUUGUCACACAGAGCAACAAGCCUUGUGUGAACUAAAUCAAGUUAAAAAUAAACUACCAUUAUACAGCCCAACAUGUACAAGAAUAGAACUACUAUAAUACUGCUCCUAUGUACAAGAAUAGAACUACUAUAAUACUACUCCUA